UCUAUUUCUCCUUCACCCAAUUCCUCAGCUUACCAACAAUCUCUCCAACCCCAAUUCCCUAAAUAUGGCUUCUAUGGCUAUGACAGCUUCCUUCCUCCCCACCACAGCCACUAAGCAACCCUCCUCCACCGCCCGUCGACCCCUUAUUGUUGCCAAAGCAUCCACCUCUAACCAAGCCUCCAAUGUCAACAUGGAGGUCAAGAAUGUGAAGGUAGAGAGCAGGCAAGGGCGGCGGGAGUUGGUGGCGGCUGCUGUCACAGUAGCAGCUGCAACCUUGGCGAAGGCGGCAAUGGCGGAUGAGCCGGCACGUGGGUCUCCUGAAGCCAAGCAG
rnacentral:lncRNA from 1 species